UCCUGCCAAGGAAUCCAAAAACAUCAGCUGUCUCCCGUUUCCUGAGAGUUCGCCGACCAGUUUUGCUUUCAAGCUGAAGAAAAAACUACAGUUUAACUUCACCAGGCACAAUCAUCAGAUGCAGGAAAAUAUUAACCCAGAAUGGUUUCGUGUUACCGUCCAGUGUGAGAAACAUUUCACAAAUGCUAAUCGUGUAUGCCUAAAUGGUUUGUAUUUGUGCGGAUCUGCAAAUUCGGUUUUUGUGGAAUAAUUCGACCAAGGGCUAUGAUGUAGCAGCGGUGGAGAGGAAGUCCAAUCAUACGGCUUCAUCCCGCCCCGGGAGCAGAUGAGCGCUAGCGAAUGUUCUCAGGCGGUUGGAGUUCUGGGAGGGAACGACUGGUAACUUUAAGGGUAUAUAUGAAGCCGAAAACACCCACAACAAUGGGGUAACUAACAUAAAGCUCGCCGGUGAUAAAGUGAUAGUCGCACGGUUGAGUGGACGAAUCGAUUUUCUGAGACUGGAAACGUACACGCAAGGUUGUCAGAUCGAUUGGGGAUUUACGUCUGCAUAUGGGCGAACCCACGAACGUACCGGUUCGCAGGAAGCAUUAGUUUAUUUCCGCUAUCCGCCGGCUCAAAUCCGUCCACAGCGUUGCCAGCUCAACAUCACGUAUCCGAGGAGUAUCAUGGAGUUUCACCAGCAGAGUCACCGGUGACAUGUUUGGAAGUGGCGGGCGGUACAGUCAUGACUGGCUGCCAGGGCCACACUGUUAAAGUGUUCCGGCUGGGGUAGCGUUGAGGGAUUUUGUCGCCGCUCACGGUACAUUUCUAUUUCUUCUCACUGAUGUGUAAAUACAUUUGCUGCACCCGCUUCUAGUGAAUACAUUUGAGCAGAUAUCACAAAUAGAUCCCAAAAAGUUAUUUCUUCGGGAGAAACGCUUCUCACAUAUCUCGAAUUCCC